rnacentral:rRNA from 1 species
UGACCGAUAGCGUACGAGUACCGUGAGGGAAAGGUGAAAAGCACCCCGGGAGGGGAGUGAAAGAGUUCCUGAAACCGUGCGCCCGCGAACCGUCGGAGCCCCCUGGUGGGGUGACGGCGUGCCUAUCGAAAAAUGAGUCUGCGAGUCAGUGGCAUGUGGCGAGCAUAAGCCGUGUGGUGUAUGCGUAGCGAAAGCGAGUCUUAAAAGGCGUUUUGAGUCGCGUGUCCUGGACCCGAAGCGGGAUGAUCUAGCCCUGGUCAGGUUGAAGCGUGGGUAAGACCGCGUGGAGGACCGCACCCACUUAGGUUGAAAACUGAGGGGAUGAACUGGGGUUAGGGGUGAAAGGCCAAUCAAAUUCCGUGAUAGCUGGUUCUCUUCGAAAUGCAUUUAGGUGCAGCGUCGGUUGAUUGCGUGUGGGGGGUAGAGCUACUGGAUGCUUGCGGGCCCGUACCGGGUACCAACAGCAACCAAACUCCGAAUACCCAUCGCGUCUAUUCCGGCAGUGAGUCGGCGGGGGAUAAGCUCCGUCGUCGAGGGGGAGACAGCCCUGACCGUCGUCUAAGGUCCCCAAGCGCGUGCUAAGUGGGAAAGGAUGUGGAGUCGCAUAGACAGCCAGGAGGUUGGCUCAGAAGCAGCCAUCCUUGAAAGAGUGCGUAACAGCUCACUGGUCUAGUGGUUCCGCGCCGACAAUGUAGCGGGGCUCAAGCACGCCACCGAAGACGCGGGAUGCAACGUUGUGUUGCGUGGUAGGAGAGCGUCCCACACCGGGGCGAAGCGGCGGGGGAACCCGGCCGUGGACUGUGUGGGAGUGAGAAUGCAGACAUGAGUAGCGAGAGCAGGGUGAGGAUCCCUGCCGCUGGAAGACCAAGGGUUCCAGGGCCACGUUCGUCGUCCCUGGGUGAGUCGGGUCCUAAGGCGAGGCCGACAGGCGUAGUCGAAUGGAUGAACGGGUCGAUAUUCCCGUACCGGCUUUCGGACCGACCAGCAGCCCGUGUGAACAAGGGCCAUCCGAUACGGUUGAUGGGGGCUUCGGCCUUCUGAUUCCGUUGCUGUUUGGCCUGGACGCGCAUGGGUUGAGCGUUUCAGGAGUGACGCGGACGGGUAGCCGGCCGGGGAGGUGGUUUUCCCUGGUCAAGCGUGUGGCCCCGCCCCCAGGCAAAUCCGGGGGCAUGAUGGGGUGAGGCGUGAUGAUGGGCGCUGUUCAGGCGUGAUAUCCGGUGAUCCCGUCGGCCGAGAAAAGCUUCGGCGCGAGGUCCGUUGCCGCCCGUACCCCAAACCGACACAGGUGGUCUGGUAGAGUAUACCGAAGCGAUCGAGCGAAUCCUGGUCAAGGAACUCGGCAAAUUGCUCCCGUGCCUUCGGCAUAAGGGAGACCCCCGGCGGUUCCGGCCCCGUUCGCGGGCCGCGGGCGGCUGGGGGUGGCACAGGCCAGGGGGUAGCGACUGUUUACCAAAAACACAGGUGCAUGCCAAGACGCAAGUCGCCGUAUAUGCACUGACGCCUGCCCGGUGCCGGAAGGUUAAGAGGAUCCAUCAGCGUCCCCUCGCGGGAUGCGAAGUGGUGAAUUCAAGCCCCGGUAAACGGCGGUGGUAACUAUAACCAUCCUAAGGUAGCGAAAUUCCUUGUCGGGUAAGUUCCGACCUGCACGAAUGGCGUAACGACUUCCCCGCUGUCUCGACCAGGAGCUCGGCGAAAUUGCAGUACGAGUAAAGAUGCUCGUUAAGCGCAGAAGGACGAAAAGACCCCGGGACCUUUACUAUACCUUGGUAUUGGCAUCAGGUGCGGAUUGUGUAGCAUAGGCGGGAGGCUUCGAAGCCACGGCGCCAGCCGUGGUGGAGCCGGCCAGUGAAAUACCGCUCUGUCCCCAUCUGAUGCCUAACCCGGACAAGUGAGCCUUGUCGGGGAGAGUGCCUGGCGGGUAGUUUAACUGGGGCGGUUGCCUCCCAAAGAGUAACGGAGGCGCUCAAAGGUCCGCUCGGCCCGGUUGGCAAUCGGGUGUCGAGUGUAAUCGCACAAGCGGGCUUGACUGCGAGAUCGACGGAUCGAGCAGGGACGAAAGUCGGAGAUAGUGAUCCGGUGCCGGCGUACGGACGCGGCAUCGCUCAACGGAUAAAAGGUACCCCGGGGAUAACAGGCUGAUCAUUCCCAAGAGUCCAUAUCGACGGGAUGGUUUGGCACCUCGAUGUCGGCUCGUCGCAUCCUGGGGCUGGAGCAGGUCCCAAGGGUUCGGCUGUUCGCCGAUUAAAGCGGCACGCGAGCUGGGUUCAGAACGUCGUGAGACAGUUUGGUCUCUAUCCUCUGCGCUCGUUGGAAUCCUGAGGAGGCCUGCCCAUAGUACGAGAGGACCUGGGUGGACGAACCUCUGGUAUGCCAGUUGUCCCGCCAGGGGCACGGCUGGUUGGCCACGUUCGGGAGGGAUAACCGCUGAAAGCAUCUAAGCGGGAAGCCCGCUCCAAGA